rnacentral:rRNA from 1 species
AGCCGCGGUAAUACGUAGGGUGCAAGCGUUAUCCGGAAUUAUUGGGCGUAAAGAGCUCGUAGGCGGUUUGUCGCGUCUGCUGUGAAAUCCCGAGGCUCAACCUCGGGCCUGCAGUGGGUACGGGCAGACUAGAGUGCGGUAGGGGAGAUUGGAAUUCCUGGUGUAGCGGUGGAAUGCGCAGAUAUCAGGAGGAACACCGAUGGCGAAGGCAGAUCUCUGGGCCGUAACUGACGCUGAGGAGCGAAAGGGUGGGGAGCAAACAGGCUUAGAUACCCUGGUAGUCCACCCCGUAAACGUUGGGAACUAGUUGUGGGGUCCUUUCCACGGAUUCCGUGACGCAGCUAACGCAUUAAGUUCCCCGCCUGGGGAGUACGGCCGCAAGGCUAAAACUCAAAGGAAUUGACGGGGACCCGCACAAGCGGCGGAGCAUGCGGAUUAAUUCGAUGCAACGCGAAGAACCUUACCAAGGCUUGACAUACACGAGAACGGGCCAGAAAUGGUCAACUCUUUGGACACUCGUGAACAGGUGGUGCAUGGUUGUCGUCAGCUCGUGUCGUGAGAUGUUGGGUUAAGUCCCGCAACGAGCGCAACCCUCGUUCUAUGUUGCCAGCACGUAAUGGUGGGAACUCAUGGGAUACUGCCGGGGUCAACUCGGAGGAAGGUGGGGAUGACGUCAAAUCAUCAUGCCCCUUAUGUCUUGGGCUUCACGCAUGCUACAAUGGCCGGUACAAAGGGCUGCAAUACCGUGAGGUGGAGCGAAUCCCAAAAAGCCGGUCCCAGUUCGGAUUGAGGUCUGCAACUCGACCUCAUGAAGUCGGAGUCGCUAGUAAUCGCAGAUCAGCAACGCUGCGGUGAAUACGUUCCCGGGUCUUGUACACACCGCCCGU